UACAGAGGGUGCAAGCGUUGUUCGGAAUUAUUGGGCGUAAAGCGCGUGUAGGCGGCGUGACAAGUCGGGUGUGAAAGCCCUCAGCUCAACUGAGGAAGUGCGCCCGAAACUGUCGUGCUUGAGUGCCGGAGAGGGUGGCGGAAUUCCCCAAGUAGAGGUGAAAUUCGUAGAUAUCGGAAGGAACACCGGUGGCGAAGGCGGCCCCCUGGACCGGUACUGACGCUGAGGCGCGAAAGCGUGGGUAGCAAACGGG
rnacentral:rRNA from 1 species